rnacentral:rRNA from 1 species
UGGGGAAUAUUGCACAAUGGGGGAAACCCUGAUGCAGCGACGCCGCGUGAGCGAAGAAGGCUUUCGAGUCGUAAAGCUCUGUCCUAUGAGAAGAUAAUGACGGUAUCAUAGGAGGAAGCCCUGGCUAAAUACGUGCCAGCAGCCGCGGUAAUACGUAUGGGGCGAGCGUUGUCCGGAAUUAUUGGGCGUAAAGGGUACGUAGGUGGUUUUUUAAGUCAGGUGUCAAAGCGUGGAGCUUAACUCCAUUAAGCACUUGAAACUGAAAGACUUGAGUGAAGGAGAGGAAAGUGGAAUUCCUAGUGUAGCGAUGAAAUGCGUAGAUAUUAGGAGGAAUACCGGUGGCGAAGGCGACUUUCUGGACUUUUACUGACGCUCAGGUACGAAAGCGUGGGGAGCAAACAGG